rnacentral:rRNA from 1 species
UUGGUAGAUCGUAGGGAUUGUCGCUGGCCUUUGGAAACGAAGGCAUGUGCACGUUCCGAGUUCUCCUUAGUCCUCCUUUGCCUUUCCUUUGGAAAACCCUUUCUUCACACCCGUGCACCCAUUGUAGGUCUCCGCGAGGGGAUCUAUGUCUUCACAUAAACACUACGUAUGUCUAGGAAUGUAUCUAAAAGCGUCGGACGGCUUGGCUUCGUGCCCGGUCGGCGACGGUAAAGAACCAUAAUACAACUUUCAGCAACGGAUCUCUUGGCUCUCGCAUCGAUGAAGAACGCAGCGAAUUGCGAUAAGUAAUGUGAAUUGCAGAUUUUCAGUGAAUCAUCGAAUCUUUGAACGCACCUUGCGCUCCUUGGUAUUCCGAGGAGCAUGCCUGUUUGAGUGUCAUUUAAUUCUCAACCAUCCCUCGAUUCGUUUCGAGGGUUUGGCUUGGAUUUUGGGGGCUGCCGGGCGACCCUAGGGUCUUCGGCUCUCCUUAAAAGCAUUAGCGAUGGCGGCGCGAUCUAACCCCCCCAUGCAUGAACGGCCUUCGACGUGAUAAUGAUCGUCGUGGCUGGAGUGUUGUUAGUGGGUGUCGUGAAAGUCGGCGCUUCUAAA